rnacentral:lncRNA from 1 species
CUCAAGAGCAACAUAGAAUAGGUGGACUGUGGGAAAUAUGGCUAAACAGUAGCAAACUGUAGCCCACCAUACAUGGAAGACAUGGGAGUUUAUUUAAGAACAGGACAUACCAGAAUAGCAAAAAUAAGAGGGUGGGAAAACUGAUAUUUCUGUGUGUGCCACAAUAUCCCCCCCUUCUCCUCUACGACAACAGUGUAUUUGUAGUUCAGAAAGUCUUCCCCAAGUCAUGGCCUGUGGGGCUGGCCUGCCUCAUCAGCCAUGUUAAGAAUAUAGUUAGCCAUGUCAUCUUCAGUGGGUGCAUCUGACACCACCCAUGAUUCAUUUGCUCCAGUCAUCUGUAGGCGACAAAUGGGGCAGUUCCUGUGUCGAUCACUCCAUUUAUCAAUGCACUUCUGACAGAAGCUGUGAGCACAGGGCAGGAUGAGGUCAGCUCGCCCGUCCAUGCAGAUACAACACUCCUCCUCAUCAGUCAGCUGCUUCACCCUGCCCAUCCAUAGACUAGCCUGGCAAGAUGUGACCGAGGAUGGGUUGCCAUCAGGCUCUUCAGAGGUGGAGCUCUGAGCCAGCACUCCAGCAGCUUGGCUUGUGAUGUCUUUAUAGAGCUGAAUAAACUGGUACAAAUUCAUGAUCCAAGAUGCUUUUCCUGGCCAGCAGCCACCUUAGCAGUUACAUCAUUGAGUUCAGCUACUCUCCCAAGAAACUCUUCGUAAGUUAAGGAGCCACUUUCUCGAACCAAGGUGACGUGCUUUGCUACCUUUUCUGGUAACUUGUUAAUAACCAACUGCGUCUGAUCUGAAAUUUGCUGUCCCAUGGUGAAAUGAUGUCUUUCAGAAUUCAGAAAGAGUUUUGCUUCCCAUAGUUUCCAGUUCAAGGCAUGGCUCUCG